GACAAUGAUGAGAGAAAUCUACUGACUUGGUAGUGCCUCCACAGGAAGGCACUGACCAAGGUGUGAUUAUAAGAAUAAUCUUCUCUCUGAGUCU